GAUGAAGAACGCAGCGAAAUGCGAAAAGUAGUGUGAAUUGCAGAAUUCAGUGAAUCAUCGAAUCUUUGAACGCACAUUGCGCCCCUUGGUAUUCCAUGGGGCAUGCCUGUUCGAGCGUCAUUUGUACCUUCAAGCUCUGCUUGGUGUUGGGUGUUUGUCCCGCUUUUUGCGUGGACUCGCCUCAAAGCAAUUGGCAGCCGGCGUACUAGCCUGGGAGCGCAGCACAUUUUGCGCAUCUCGACUGGAACGCUUGCGUCCAUUAAGCCUACACUUUUGCUCUUGACCUCGGAUCAGGUAGGGAUACCCGCUGAACUUAAGCAUAUCAAUAAGCGGAGGA
rnacentral:misc_RNA from 1 species